rnacentral:tRNA from 1 species
CCGGAUAGCUCAGUCGGUAGAGCAGAGGAUUGAAAAUCCUCGUGUCGGUGGUUCGAUUCCGCCUCCGG